rnacentral:rRNA from 1 species
CAGCCACCGCGGUAAUACCGGCGGCCCGAGUGGCGGCCACUAUUAUUGGGCUUAAAGCGUCCGUAGCCGGGUUGGUUAGUCUCCCGGGAAAUCUGGCCGCUUAACGGUCAGAAUUCCGGGAGAUACUGCCAGCCUAGGGACCGGGAGAGGCCGAGGGUAUUCCCGGAGUAGGGGUGAAAUCCUAUAAUCCCGGGAGGACCACCUGUGGCGAAGGCGCUCGGCUGGAACGGGUCCGACGGUGAGGGACGAAGGCCAGGGGAGCAAACCGGAUUAGAUACCCGGGUAGUCCUGGCUGUAAACGAUGCGGACUUUGUGUCGGACAAGCUAUGAGCUUGUCCGGUGCCGGAGGGAAACCGUUAAGUCCGCCGCCUGGGGAGUACGGCCGCAAGGCUGAAACUUAAAGGAAUUGGCGGG